rnacentral:rRNA from 1 species
CGCGCUAUCUGCAGUCGAGGGGCAUCGCAGGUAGCAAUACUGGGCGGCGACCGGCAAACGGGUGCGGAACACGUACGUAACCUUCCUUUAAGUGGGAGAUAGCCCGAAGAAAUUCGGAUUAAUACCCCAUAAGAUCAUAGAGUGGCAUCACUUAGUGAUUAAAGAAUUUCGCUUAAAGAUGGGCGUGCGGCUGAUUAGGUAGUUGGUGAGGUAACGGCUCACCAAGCCAACGAUCAGUAACUGGCGUGAGAGCGCGACCAGUCACACGGGCACUGAGACACGGGCCCGACUCCUACGGGAGGCAGCAGUAAGGAAUAUUGGUCAAUGGACGGAAGUCUGAACCAGCCAUGCCGCGUGAAGGAUGAAGGUCCUCUGGAUUGUAAACUUCUUUUAUAUGGGAAGAAACCACUUUUAUCUAAAGGUGUUGACGGUACCAUAGGAAUAAGCACCGGCUAACUCCGUGCCAGCAGCCGCGGUAAUACGGAGGGUGCAAGCGUUAUCCGGAUUCACUGGGUUUAAAGGGUGCGUAGGCGGAUUGGUAAGUCCGUGGUGAAAUCCCCGAGCUUAACUCGGAAACUGCCAUGGAUACUAUUAGUCUUGAAUAUUGUGGAGGUUAGCGGAAUAUGUCAUGUAGCGGUGAAAUGCAUAGAUAUGACAUACAACACCAAUUGCGAAGGCAGCUGGCUACACAAAUAUUGACGCUGAUGCACGAAAGCGUGGGGAUCAAACAGGAUUAGAUACCCUGGUAGUCCACGCCCUAAACGAUGAUUACUCGACAUUUGCGAUAUACAGUAAGUGUCUGAGCGAAAGCAUUAAGUAAUCCACCUGGGAAGUACGACCGCAAGGUUGA